CACACACAAAGAUCGUUUGUCACCUCGAUCCAGAAUAUAUUUUAUUGAGUCAUCGUCGAGCCGUUUGUUUCAGGUUAGUAAUACGGUGACUCUCUGUGUCGGUACAAAAAUAAAACAUUUGUUUUUUAUCAAAAUAGUUGUUAUAAUACUAUACUAAUAUAAUAAUAAUAAUAAUAAUAAUACUCUAUUUCUCUUUCCCAUCAAACACUCAGUGAGCAUACGGCUCUGGUCGAAAGUAGUGUUCCUGUAUAGGGAAUAGGGCUCUGGUCUAAAGUAGUGUUACUGUAUAGGGAAUAGGGCUCUGGUCUAAAGUAGUGUUACUGUAUAGGGAAUAGGGCUCUGGUCUAAAGUAGUGUUACUGUAUAGGGAAUAGGGCUCUGGUCUAAAGUAGUGUUACUGUAUAGGGAAUAGGGCUCUGGUCUAAAGUAGUGUUACUGUAUAGGGAAUAGGGCUCUGGUCUAAAGUAGUGUUACUGUAUAGAGAAUAGGGCUCUGGUCUAAAGUAGUGUUACUGUAUAGAGAAUAGGGCUCCGGUCUAAAGUAGUGUUACUGUAUAGGGAAUAGGGCUCCGGUCUAAAGUAGUGUUACUGUAUAGGGAAUAGGGCUCUGGUCUAAAGUAGUGUUACUGUAUAGGGAAUAGGGCUCUGGUCUAAAGUAGUGUUACUGUAUAGGGAAUAGGGCUCUGGUCUAAAGUAGUUGCACUAUAUAGGGAAUAGGGCUCUGGUCUAUAGUAGUGUUACUGUAUAGGGAAUAGGGCUCUGGUCUAAAGUAGUGUUACUGUAUAGGGAAUAGGGCUCUGGUCUAAAGUAGUGUUACUGUAUAGGGAAUAGGGCUCUGGUCUAUAGUGGUUCUGAGAAGGAUUCUAGAACUUUCCAGAAGAGGUUCUGAGAAGGAUUCUAGAACGUUCCAGAAGAGGUUCUGAGAAGGAUUCUAGAACGUUCCAGAGGAGGAUCUGAGAAGGACUCUAGAACGUUCCAGAGGAGGUUCUGAGGAGGAUUCUAACAUCUGAUUGUCAAAAAAGGGGAGUUAUUGGGCAACACCAUAAAUAACACAACCAACUCUGAUUGGCCAGUUCAGUCAGAAAAAGGUAGUAAAAACAACAAACAGGAAAUAAAACAACGCUUUACUGUGAGAUCAUCGUACAGAUAUAGACAGACGGACGGACGGACAGACAGACGGAGGAUAAAAGAACGUACUUCUUCCAGAUAUAUGACCAUUGAAUAUACACAGGUAGACUGAAGGAGAGAAUACUGACGUUCUACUUUAAAAAUAGCAUUUACUACAACAAUACUGCACUGUGUAGUGGUGUGACCUUAUCCAUGGUUACCAGUAGUAGAGGCCGUGUCAAACCCAGACAGAAAAGCCUAAGUAUAGUAAAGGGAAGACAGUGCGCAGUUCACUGACUACAUCUCCCAGAAGUCUUAGAGGCCUUUUCAAAAUAAAAUGUCCCCGUCAUAUAGGCUCCAGUUCUUGGAAGUUCUGUUUCAAAAUAGUAGUUUUAGAAAUGUGGUUUAUAGAUUCACAAAAAAGGUUCUGUUGAUUCCAUACUGCUCAGUGUGUGUGUGAUCAGAACUCUUAUUGUGAAAAAUUUUCAGGUGACAUACAGAAUACCCCACCAGGUGACAGGAACCUCUCCAUUGACACACAGAAUACCCCACCAGGUCACAGGAACCUCUCCAUUGACACACAGAAUACCCCUCCAGGUGACAGGAACCUCUCCAUUGACACACAGAAUACCCCUCCAGGUGACAGGAACCUCUCCAUUGACACACAGAAUACCCCUCCAGGUGACAGGAACCUCUCCAUUGACACACAGAAUACCCCUCCAGGUGACAGGAACCUCUCCAUUGACACACAGAAUACCCCACCAGGUGACAGGAACCUCUCCAUUGACACACAGAAUACCCCACCAGGUGACAGGAACCUCUCCAUUGACACACAGAAUACCCCACCAGGUGACAGGAACCUCUCCAUUGACACACAGAAUACCCCACCAGGUGACAGGAACCUCUCCAUUGACACACAGAAUACCCCACCAGGUGACAGGAACUAAACAGUCAGAUCGCUCCAUAACCAGGUGAGUCUAUUCUCUACGUAGGCAAGGCCACAGAGUUGAAUCUCUAGACUACACUAUACAUGGUGUCCCAUCCCAUAUGGGGUUUAUCUGGGUAGGUACGACUCAUAUUACAAAACACACCGAUUGUUGCUUUGGGGCAACUACAGAUUGAACACUAUGGAGUCUCCCAGGAGGGUAAGGUAAGAUGGGUAAGGUAAGAUGGGUAAGGUAAGAUGGGUAAGGUAAGAUGGGUAAGGUAAGAUGGGUAAGGUAAGAUGGGUAAGGUAAGAUGGGUAAGGUAAGAUGGGUAAGGUAAGAUGGGUAAGGUAAGAUGGGUACGGUAAGAUGGGUACGGUAAGAUGGGUAAGGUAAGAUGGGUAAGGUAAGAUGGGUAAGGUAAGAUGGGUAAGGUAAGAUGGGUAAGGUAAGAUGGGUCAAAAUGUCAGAAAUAUGCCAGAUUUGAUUAAUACUUUUAUUAUGCUUUAGAUACAAAAUGUAAAAACCGUAAAAUAUGUCAAUAAUCCUUCCUCUAUGGAUACAAU